ensembl:rRNA 5S_rRNA 5S ribosomal RNA
GUCUACAGCCAUACCACCCUGAACGUGCCUGAUCUUGUCUGAUCUCGGAAGCUAAGCAGUGUCGGGCCUGGUUAAUACUUGGAUGGGAGAAGUCUGGCACUGGUGGCC